CCUACGGGUGGCAGCAGUGAGGAAUAUUGGUCAAUGGCCGAGAGUCUGAACCAGCCAAGUAGCGUGAAGGAUGACUGCCCUAUGGGUUGUAAACUUCUUUUAUAUGGGAAUAAAAUGUUCCACGUGUGGGAUUUUGUAUGUACCAUAUGAAAAAGGAUCGGCUAACUCCGUGCCAGCAGCCGCGGUAAUACGGAGGAACCGAGCGUUCUCCGGAUUUAUUGGGUUUAAAGGGAGCGUAGGUGGAUUGUUAAGUCAGUUGUGAAAGUUUGCGGCGCAACCGUAAAAUUGCAGUUGAGACUGGCAGUGUAGAGAACAGUAGAGGUAGGCGGAAUUCGUGGUGGAGCGGUGAAAUGCUUAGAUAUCACGAAGAACUCCGAUUGCGAAGGCAGUUCACUGGACUGCAACUGACACUGAGGCUCGAAAGUGUGGGUAUCAAACAGGAUUAGAUACCCUAGUAGUC
rnacentral:rRNA from 1 species